rnacentral:rRNA from 1 species
GACGAACGCUGGCGGCGUGCCUAAUACAUGCAAGUUGAGCGCUGAAGGUUGGUACUUGUACCGACUGGAUGAGCAGCGAACGGGUGAGUAACGCGUGGGGAAUCUGCCUUUGAGCGGGGGACAACACUUGGAAACGAAUGCUAAUACCGCAUAAAAACUUUAAACACAAGUUUUAAGUUUGAAAGAUGCAAUUGCAUCACUCAAAGAUGCUCCUGCGUUGUUAUUCGCUAGUUGGUGAGGUAAAGGCUCACCAAGGCGAUGAUACAUAGCCGACCUGAGAGGGUAGUCAGCCACAUUGGGAGUGAGACACGGCCCAAACUCCUACGUUAAGCAGCAGUAGGGAAUCUUCGGCAAUGGACGAAAGUCUGACCGAGCAACGCCGCGUGAGUGAAGAUGGUUUUCGGAUCGUAAAACUCUGUUGGUAGAGAAGAACGUUGGUGAGAGUGGAAAGCUCAUCAAGUGACGGUAACUACCCAGAAAGGGACGGCUAACUACGUGCCAGCAGCCGCGGUAA